CCCACUUUGUAAUAAUUUGUAGGCACUCCGAACUGUAUACUCUCCUGAAGGUUCUCCUGUCCAAGCCAGUAAAUCACUAUGAGGUUCCAUCACCAGAGGGAUGCGAAGGAUCAGCUCAGCUACCUCUUCUGGGAAGAUCAAGAGGAACGAGAUUCAAGCCGUGAUCGAGGGAAAAAUAAAGUUUCCGAGGAAUAGGCUCGAUUGUUAAAAAUUUUGUACCGAGUUUUAACAAGCCGGCUUGAGAAUUGGGAUAGGUCGAAGACUCGUUCACACUAUCCGAAGGCCUAAAUUGGUAAAACGGCUUGUGUGUUUUGAAUGUGGCAUGUAUGGCAAAAUAUUCACUUUGUGUAAAUGAUCUUAUGAUAUGGCUAUGGUUUGGAAAGUAAAGGGUUUGUAAAUGAUUAGCCAUUGGAAUGGGCAAUCUAAGUCA